rnacentral:rRNA from 1 species
GAUCAAGCUAAAAAGGGCGUACGGUGGAUGCCUAGGCGGAAACUGGCGAUGAAGGACGUGUCUAGCUGCGAUAAGCUUCGGGGAGCUGCUAAGAGAGCUUUGAUCCGGAGAUUUCCGAAUGGGGCAACCUUCCUUUCCAUUGGAAAGGAAUCCUCCGCUGAAUAUAUAGGCGGAGAGAAGCAAACCCAGGGAACUGAAACAUCUCAGUACCUGGAGGAAAAGACAUCAAUUGAGAUUCUCCUAGUAGUGGCGAGCGAACGGGGAACAGCCUAAACCGGCAUCAACACCGAUUGUAUACGUAGGGGUCGACCCGUAUAAAUGGGCAAACAUGUGGGUUUGCCCCUACAGUGCAAUGGGUGUUGAUGCCGGGGUUGCGGGACCUUAAUGUGGGAUGUGUGAGGGUAGUCGAACGGUCUGGAACGGCCGGUCAUAGAAGGUGAUAACCCUGUAGACGAAACUUAAGCACACCCUAGAGGUAUCCCAAGUACCACGGGACACGUGAAAUCCUGUGGGAAUCCGGGUGGACCAUCAUCCAAGGCUAAAUACACGUUUCCGACCGAUAGUGAACUAGUACCGCGAGGGAAAGGUGAAAAGCACCCAGAGAUGGGAGUGAAAUAGUAUCUGAAACCGUAUGCCUACAAGCAGUGGGAGCACUAUGCCCCGCAAGGGGAAUGUGUGACCGCGUGCCUUUUGCAUAAUGAGUCAGCGAGUUACUGGUUGCAGCAAGGUUAAGGCCCAAAAGGGCUGGAGCCGUAGCGAAAGCGAGUCUUAAAAGGGCGAUUAAGUUGCAAUUAGUAGACCCGAAACCUAGUGAUCUAACCAUGGGCAGGAUGAAGGCUCGGUAAUACGAGCUGGAGGUCCGAACUAGUGACCGUUGAAAAGGUCUUGGAUGACCUGUGGUUAGGGGUGAAAGGCUUAUCAAACUGGGAGAUAGCUGGUUCUCCUCGAAAUAUAUUGAGGUAUAGCCUCACUGAAUCAAUAACGGAGGUAGAGCACUGGAUGGUCUAGGGCCUCUUACCGAGGUACCAAAACCAACCAAACUCCGAAUUCCGUUAAUUGCCACAGUGGGAGUCAGACGGUGGGUGAUAAUGUUCAUCGUCAAAAGGGAAAAAGCCCAGACCAUCAGCUAAGGCCCCUAAAUACACACUAAGUGGGAAAGGAUGUGGAGGCGCAUAAACAGCCAGGAGGUUGGCUUAGAAGCAGCCAUCCUUUAAAGAAAGCGUAACAGCUCACUGGUCUAGUGAAUCCGCGCCGAAAAUGUAACGGGGCUCAAGUGUGUUGCCGAAGCUAUGGAUGCAUCGUCUUUUAGAUGAUGCGUGGUAGAGGAGUAUUCCGUAGGCCGUUGAAGGACGACUGAAAGGACGUCUGGAGGUAUCGGAAGAGCUUAUGCUGACAUGAGUAGCGAUAAACGUAGUGAGAAACUACGUCGCCGAAAAUCCAAGGUUUCCUGAGCAAGGUUAAUCCGCUCAGGGUUAGUCGGUACCUAAGCCGAGGCCGAAAGGCGUAGGUGAUGGAGGACAGGUUAAUAUUCCUGUACCGUUUUGGUAGCGCUAUGACCUUCGAGGUGACGGAGAAGGGUAGACAAGCGGCCGAUUGGAAGUGGCCGUUCAAGCCUGUAGGAGGAUGUCCCAGGUAAAUCCGGGAUGUCAUUACUCCGAGAAGUGAGUACGACCGAUCCCCUUCGGGGGUGACGAUAGUUGUCGAUCCCAUGCUUCCAAGAAAAACCUCGUCGGAAGUUGCCAAGAUGACCGUACCGUAAUCCGACACAGGUGGAUGAGGUGAAAAUCCUAAGGCGCUUGAGUGAUCUCUGGCUAAGGAACUCUGCAAAUUAAUGCCGUAACUUAGGGAGAAGGCAUGCCACGAUUUGUGAAGGGAUUUACUCCCGGAGCAUUUCGAGGUCGCAGUGAAAGGGUGGCGGCGACUGUUUAACAAAAACACAGGGCUCUGCAAAGUCGCGUAAGACGACGUAUAGGGCCUGAAACCUGCCCGGUGCUGGAAGGUUAAAGCGAGCUGUUAGUCGCAAGACGAGGCAGCGACCUGAAGCCCCAGUAAACGGCGGCCGUAACUAUAACGGUCCUAAGGUUAACCAAACGCUAGCCUUAGUAAAACUGAACCAUAUGCGGGAAACUCCUCAACAGCCAUUCAGUACUCGUCCACACUAGUGGAAAGUAAAAAUCUGAUGGACAAGGGGACAAUCCGCAGGGAAGGCCUGGUUUGUACCAGGAACCCUCAGAGACUUUACGUUCGGGAACUGCCAAUGAAACUUGAAUCUCAAUGGAUCACAGGUUUUGUGGAUGGUGAAGGUUGUUUUCAUGUGGGGAUUAAUCCUCAUACGGAAAUGACGGCAGGCUACCAAGUGUUGCCUGAAUUCACUGUCGUACAACACAAACGUGAUAUUCAAAUACUGCAUGCGCUCAAAGAUUAUUUUGGUUGUGGUGUUGUUCGUACCAACCAUGGUGAUCGGAUGGCGUAUCGGGUGAGGUCUAUCAAAGAUCUCUCACAGAUUAUCAUUCCAUUUUUUUUCAAGCAUCCUCUCCAGUCAAAGAAACGAAUUGAUUUUGAAAAAUUCAAAUCGGUUCUAUCUCUGAUGAAUGAGGAUGUUCAUUUGCACGCAGACGGAAUUGAGGAAAUCCGUCGGAUUGCGAGUCAAAUGAAUCGAGGUAGUUUAAGAUAAAGUCCGGCUCAUAUGGAAACAUAUGAGGGAUACCGAGCGAAAUUCCUUGUCGGGUAAGUUCCGACCUGCACGAAUGGUGUAACGAUUGCCACACUGUCUCGGCCAGAGGCUCAGCGAAAUUGUAUUUGCGGUGCAGAUGCCGUAUACCCGCAGAAAGACGGAAAGACCCUGUGCACCUUUACUAUAACUUGGCACUGAACUUCGGGUCGGUUUGUGUAGGAUAGGUGGGAGACUUUGAAGCUGGGGCGCUAGCCUUGGUGGAGUCAACCUUGAAAUACCACCCUGAUCGUUCUGGAGUUCUAACCGACGCCCGUUAGCCGGGCGCGGGACACUGUCUGGUGGGUAGUUUGACUGGGGCGGUCGCCUCCCAAAAUGUAACGGAGGCGCGCAAAGGUUCCCUCAGGCUGAUUAGAAACCAGCCGUCGAGUGCAAUGGCAUAAGGGAGCUUAACUGUGAGACAAACAAGUCGAACAGAUGCGAAAGCAGGUCAUAGUGAUCCGGUGGUCCCGUAUGGAAGGGCCAUCGCUCAUCGGACAAAAGGUACGCCGGGGAUAACAGGCUGAUUUACCCCAAGAGUUCAUAUCGACGGGGAAGUUUGGCACCUCGAUGUCGGCUCAUCGCAUCCUGGGGCUGUAGCAGGUCCCAAGGGUUUGGCUGUUCGCCAAUUAAAGCGGUACGCGAGCUGGGUUCAGAACGUCGUGAGACAGUUCGGUCCCUAUCUUCUGUGGGCGUAGGAAAUUUGAGGGGAUCUGUCCCUAGUACGAGAGGACCGGGAUGGACGGACCUCUAGUGUACCAGUUGUCACGCCAGUGGCAGUGCUGGGUAGCUAUGUUCGGAUCCGAUAAACGCUGAAAGCAUCUAAGCGUGAAACGGACCCCAAGACUAGAUUUCCCAUCCGCGCAAGCGGAUCUAAAGACCCCUUGUAGACGACAAGGUUGAUAGGCCGGGUGUGUACGGGCAGUAAUGCCUUAAGCUUACCGGUACUAAUUGGUCGUGCGGCUUGAUCAU